rnacentral:rRNA from 1 species
GUGGGGAAUAUUGGACAAUGGGCGAAAGCCUGAUCCAGCCAUGCCGCGUGUGUGAAGAAGGUCUUCGGAUUGUAAAGCACUUUAAGUUGGGAGGAAGGGCAGUAAGUUAAUACCUUGCUGUUUUGACGUUACCGACAGAAUAAGCACCGGCUAACUUCGUGCCAGCAGCCGCGGUAAUACGAAGGGUGCAAGCGUUAAUCGGAAUUACUGGGCGUAAAGCGCGCGUAGGUGGUUUUGUAAGUUGGAGGUGAAAUCCCCGGGCUCAACCUGGGAACUGCCUCCAAAACUGCAUGACUAGAGGACGGUAGAGGGUAGUGGAAUUUCCUGUGUAGCGGUGAAAUGCGUAGAUAUAGGAAGGAACACCAGUGGCGAAGGCGACUACCUGGACUGAUACUGACACUGAGGUGCGAAAGCGUGGGGAGCAAACAGGAUUAGAUACCCGGGUAGUCC